rnacentral:rRNA from 1 species
ACGAACGCUGGCGGCGUGCCUAAUACCUGCAAGUAGAACGCACAGUUUAUACCGUAGCUUGCUACACCAUAGACUGUGAGUUGCGAACGGGUGAGUAACGCGUAGGUAACCUGCCUGGUAGCGGGGGAUAACUAUUGGAAACGAUAGCUAAUACCGCAUAAUAUUAAUUAUUGCAUGAUAAUUAAUUGAAAGGUGCAAUUGCACCACUACCAGAUGGACCUGCGUUGUAUUAGCUAGUAGGUGAGGUAACGGCUCACCUAGGCGACGAUACAUAGCCGACCUGGGAGGGUGGUCGGCCACACUGGGACUGAGACACGGCCCAGACUCCUACGGGAGGCAGCAGUAGGGAAUCUUCGGCAAUGGACGAAAGUCUGACCGAGCAACGCCGCGUGAGUGAAGAAGGUUUUCGGAUCGUAAAGCUCUGUUGUAAGAGAAGAACGGGUGUGAGAGUGGAAAGUUCACACUGUGACGGUAUCUUACCAGAAAGGGACGGCUAACUACGUG